AGUGAACGCUGGCGGUAGGCCUAACACAUGCAAGUCGAACGGCAGCACAGUAAGAGCUUGCUCUUACGGGUGGCGAGUGGCGGACGGGUGAGGAAUACAUCGGAAUCUACUUUUUCGUGGGGGAUAACGUAGGGAAACUUACGCUAAUACCGCAUACGACCUACGGGUGAAAGCAGGGGAUCUUCGGACCUUGCGCGAUUGUAUGAGCCGAUGUCGGAUUAGCUAGUUGGCGGGGUAAAGGCCCACCAAGGCGACGAUCCGUAGCUGGUCUGAGAGGAUGAUCAGCCACACUGGAACUGAGACACUGUCCAGACUCCUACGGGAGGCAGCAGUGGGGAAUAUUGGACAAUGGGCGCAAGCCUGAUCCAGCCAUACCGCGUGGGUGAAGAAGGCCUUCGGGUUGUAAAGCCCUCUUGUUGGGAAAGAAAAGCAGCAGGUUAAUACCCCGCUGUUCUGACGGUACCCAAAGAAUAAGCACCGGCUAACUUCGUG
rnacentral:rRNA from 1 species